AGCUCCUGGAAACGGGUGGUAAUGCCGAAUGCUCCAACAUGCUGCAUGGUGUGUUGGGAAAGGGUUCUGUACCGGUAUGGGAUGGGGUCGCGUCCUAUCAGCUUGUUGGUGAGGUAACGGCUCACCAAGGCCUCGACGGGUAGCCGGCCUGAGAGGGCGACCGGCCACAUUGGGACUGAGAUACGGCCCAGACUCCUACGGGAGGCAGCAGUGGGGAAUAUUGCACAAUGGGCGCAAGCCUGAUGCAGCGACGCCGCGUGCGGGAUGACGGCCUUCGGGUUGUAAACCGCUUUUGAUUGGGAGCAAGCGUGNNAGUGAGUGUACCUUUCGAAUAAGCGCCGGCUAACUACGUGCCAGCAGCCGCGGUAAUACGUAGGGCGCAAGCGUUGUCCGGAAUUAUUGGGCGUAAAGGGCUCGUAGGCGGCCCGUCGCGUCCGGUGUGAAAGCCCGUCGCUUAACGUCGGGUCUGCGCCGGGUACGGGCGGGCUGGAGUGCGGUAGGGGAGACUGGAAUUCCCGGUGUAACGGUGGAAUGUGUAGAUAUCGGGAAGAACACCAAUGGCGAAGGCAGGUCUCUGGGCCGUUACUGACGCUGAGGAGCGAAAGCGUGGGGAGCGAACAGGAUUAGAUACCCUGGUAGUCCACGCCGUAANCGGUGGACGCUGGAUGUGGGGCCCUUUCCACGGGUUCCGUGUCGGAGCUAACGCGUUAAGCGUCCCGCCUGGGGAGUACGGCCGCAAGGCUAAAACUCAAAGAAAUUGACGGGGGCCCGCACAAGCGGCGGNNCAUGCGGAUUAAUUCGAUGCAACGCGAAGAACCUUACCUGGGCUU
rnacentral:rRNA from 1 species